AGGUUAAGCCUCACGGUUCAUUAGUACCGGUUAGCUCAACGCAUCGCUGCGCUUACACACCCGGCCUAUCAACGUCGUCGUCUUCAACGUUCCUUCAGGAGACUCUAAGUCUCAGGGAGAACUUAUCUCGGGGCAAGUUUCGUGCUUAGAUGCUUUCAGCACUUAUCUCUUCCGCAUUUAGCUACCGGGCAGUGCCAUUGGCAUGACAACCCGAACACCAGUGAUGCGUCCACUCCGGUCCUCUCGUACUAGGAGCAGCCCCCCUCAGUUCUCCAGCGCCCACGGCAGAUAGGGACCGAACUGUCUCACGACGUUCUAAACCCAGCUCGCGUACCACUUUAAAUGGCGAACAGCCAUACCCUUGGGACCUACUUCAGCCCCAGGAUGUGAUGAGCCGACAUCGAGGUGCCAAACACCGCCGUCGAUAUGAACUCUUGGGCGGUAUCAGCCUGUUAUCCCCGGAGUACCUUUUAUCCGUUGAGCGAUGGCCCUUCCAUUCAGAACCACCGGAUCACUAUGACCUGCUUUCGCACCUGCUCGCGCCGUCACGCUCGCAGUCAAGCUGGCUUAUGCCAUUGCACUAACCUCCUGAUGUCCGACCAGGAUUAGCCAACCUUCGUGCUCCUCCGUUACUCUUUAGGAGGAGACCGCCCCAGUCAAACUACCCACCAGACACUGUCCGCAACCCGGGUAACGGGUCCACGUUAGAACAUCAAACAUUAAAGGGUGGUAUUUCAAGGUCGGCUCCAUGCAGACUGGCGUCCACACUUCAAAGCCUCCCACCUAUCCUACACAUCAAGGCUCAAUGUUCAGUGUCAAGCUAUAGUAAAGGUUCACGGGGUCUUUCCGUCUUGCCGCGGGUACACUGCAUCUUCACAGCGAGUUCAAUUUCACUGAGUCUCGGGUGGAGACAGCCUGGCCAUCAUUACGCCAUUCGUGCAGGUCGGAACUUACCCGACAAGGAAUUUCGCUACCUUAGGACCGUUAUAGUUACGGCCGCCGUUUACCGGGGCUUCGAUCAGGAGCUUCGCUUGCGCUGACCCCAUCAAUUAACCUUCCGGCACCGGGCAGGCGUCACACCGUAUACGUCCACUUUCGUGUUUGCACAGUGCUGUGUUUUUAAUAAACAGUUGCAGCCAGCUGGUAUCUUCGACUGACUUCAGCUCCAUGAGUAAAUCACUUCACCUACGUGUCAGCGUGCCUUCUCCCGAAGUUACGGCACCAUUUUGCCUAGUUCCUUCACCCGAGUUCUCUCAAGCGCCUUGGUAUUCUCUACCUGACCACCUGUGUCGGUUUGGGGUACGAUUUGAUGUUACCUGAUGCUUAGAGGCUUUUCCUGGAAGCAGGGCAUUUGUUGCUUCAGCACCGUAGUGCCUCGUCGUCACGCCUCAGUGUUAAAGUGAACCGGAUUUACCUGGAACACACACCUACACGCUUAAACCGGGACAACCGUCGCCCGGCCAACAUAGCCUUCUCCGUCCCCCCUUCGCAGUAACACCAAGUACAGGAAUAUUAACCCGUUUCCCAUCGACUACGCCUUUCGGCCUCGCCUUAGGGGUCGACUCACCCUGCCCCGAUUAACGUUGGACAGGAACCCUUGGUCUUCCGGCGAGCGGGCUUUUCACCCGCUUUAUCGUUACUUAUGUCAGCAUUCGCACUUCUGAUACCUCCAGCAUGCCUCACGACACACCUUCACAGGCUUACAGAACGCUCCCCUACCCAACGAACGUAUCCCUAAGCCAACUCGACUUUAAUGAACGCUUUGACGUCGCUUCGCUCCGUCAAUCGUCAACUCCGUAAAGUUGUCUUGGGUGAUACGUUCGCUGCCGCAGCUUCGGUGCAUGGUUUAGCCCCGUUACAUCUUCCGCGCAGGCCGACUCGACCAGUGAGCUAUUACGCUUUCUUUAAAUGAUGGCUGCUUCUAAGCCAACAUCCUGGCUGUCUGGGCCUUCCCACAUCGUUUCCCACUUAACCAUGACUUUGGGACCUUAGCUGGCGGUCUGGGUUGUUUCCCUCUUCACGACGGACGUUAGCACCCGCCGUGUGUCUCCCGUGAUAACAUUCUCCGGUAUUCGCAGUUUGCAUCGGGUUGGUAAGCCGGGAUGGCCCCCUAGCCGAAACAGUGCUCUACCCCCGGAGAUGAAUUCACGAGGCGCUACCUAAAUAGCUUUCGGGGAGAACCAGCUAUCUCCCGGUUUGAUUGGCCUUUCACCCCCAGCCACAGGUCAUCCGCUAAUUUUUCAACAUUAGUCGGUUCGGUCCUCCAGUUAGUGUUACCCAACCUUCAACCUGCCCAUGGCUAGAUCACCGGGUUUCGGGUCUAUACCCUGCAACUUAACGCCCAAUUAAGACUCGGUUUCCCUCCGGCUCCCCUAUUCGGUUAACCUUGCUACAGAAUAUAAGUCGCUGACCCAUUAUACAAAAGGUACGCAGUCACCCCACCACUAAGCCCCCUCUGCUUGUUUUGCGGUUGAACGUCGCUUUCGCUCCGUUAACCGUAUCCUCAGCAAAGGAUGCGGAUGUGGAGUUCACCACUGGCUUAGUGGUGGGGCUCCCACUGCUUGUACGUACACGGUUUCAGGUUCUUUUUCACUCCCCUCGCCGGGGUUCUUUUCGCCUUUCCCUCACGGUACUGGUUCACUAUCGGUCAGUCAGGAGUAUUUAGCCUUGGAGGAUGGUCCCCCCAUAUUCAGACAGGAUACCACGUGUCCCGCCCUACUCAUCGAGCUCACAGCACAUGCGCUUUUGUGUACGGGGCUGUCACCCUGUAUCGCGCGCCUUUCCAGACGCUUCCACUAACACACAUGCUGAUUCAGGCUCUGGGCUCCUCCCCGUUCGCUCGCCGCUACUGGGGGAAUCUCGGUUGAUUUCUUUUCCUCGGGGUACUUAGAUGUUUCAGUUCCCCCGGUUCGCCUCAUUAACCUAUGGAUUCAGUUAAUGAUAGUGUGACGAAUCACACUGGGUUUCCCCAUUCGGGUAUCGCCGGUUAUAACGGUUCAUAUCACCUUACCGGCGCUUAUCGCAGAUUAGCACGCCCUUCAUCGCCUCUGACUGCCAGGGCAUCCACCGUGUACGCUUAGUCGCUUAA
rnacentral:rRNA from 1 species